rnacentral:pre_miRNA from 1 species
CUGGUACUCCCUCCGUUCGGAAUUACUUGUCGUAGAAAUGGAUGUAUCUAGACAUUUUUUAGUUCUAGAUACAUCCAUUUCUGCGACAAAUAAUUCGGAACGGAGGGAGUACAAG